GACGUAGGGCGCGAGCGUUGUCCGGAUUUAUUGGGCGUAAAGAGCUCGUAGGCGGCUUGUUGCGUCGACUGUGAAAACCCGCGGCUUAACCGCGGGCUUGCAGUUGAUACGGGCAGGCUAGAGUUCGGUAGGGGAGACUGGAAUUCCUGGUGUAGCGGUGAAAUGCGCAGAUAUCAGGAGGAACACCGGUGGCGAAGGCGGGUCUCUGGGCCGAUACUGACGCUGAGGAGCGAAAGCCAGGGGAGCGAACGGG
rnacentral:rRNA from 1 species